GACGAACGCUGGCGGCGUGCUUAACACAUGCAAGUCGAACGGGUCUGCCCUGUUUUUUGCGGGGUGGGUCAGUGGCGAACGGGUGAGUAACACGUGAGUAACCUGCCCCUCACUUCUGGAUAACCGCUUGAAAGGGUGGCUAAUACGGGGUGUUCUGGCUGUGCCGCAUGGUGUGGCUGGGAAAGAUUCACUUUUGUGGUGUUUUGGUGGGGGAUGGGCUCGCGGCCUAUCAGCUUGUUGGUGGGGUGAUGGCCUGCCAAGGCUUUUACGGGUAGCCGGCCUGAGAGGGUGGGCGGUCACACUGGGACUGAGAUACGGCCCAGACUCCUGCGGGAGGCAGCAGUGGGGGGUAUUGCACAAUGGGCGGAAGCCUGAUGCAGCGGCGUCGCGUGAGGGAUGGAGGCCUUCGGGUUGUGAACCUCUUUCGCCGGUGAAGAAGGUCCUGCUCUUUGUGGUGGGGUUGACGGUAGCCGGGUUAUGAAGCGCCGGCUAACUACGU
rnacentral:rRNA from 1 species